rnacentral:lncRNA from 1 species
GGCCUUGUUUAGAUGAGGCCCGAAUCGGACUUUGCACAGUGUUUGGGCCUCCUUUUGGGAGUUUUGAAGUAAACGGGCUUGCAAACUUCGGUGCAAACUCGGCCUUUAGGAUGGCCCGAAUUCGGCCCAAAAAUCGGAGCCUUAUCCACCGGCAGCCGCUCGCACCUACUCCAAACCCUAGCAGCGCCCGCAUUCUCCCUCCCUCUCCCCCGCGCCGCUCGCCUCUCCCCCGCCGCUCGCCCCCUCCCCGCCGCUCUCCCCCCUCCCCCGCUCCGCUCGGCGUCGCCCCCGCCGGUGUCCUCUCCCCCGCCGCGCUCCCCCUCGACCGCGCCGCUCGCCCUCUCCCCCCUUCCGGUGUCCGCUCCACCGCAGGUUUCCCAGUCGCCCGCGCCGCUCUCGUCUCCCCCCAGAUCUCCCCCUCGCCUGCGGCGCUCGCCCCCUCCCCGCCGCUCUCCC